rnacentral:rRNA from 1 species
CAGCAGCCGCGGUAAUACGUAGGUCCCGAGCGUUGUCCGGAUUUAUUGGGCGUAAAGCGAGCGCAGGCGGUUAGAUAAGUCUGAAGUUAAAGGCUGUGGCUUAACCAUAGUACGCUUUGGAAACUGUUUAACUUGAGUGCAGAAGGGGAGAGUGGAAUUCCAUGUGUAGCGGUGAAAUGCGUAGAUAUAUGGAGGAACACCGGUGGCGAAGGCGACUCUCUGGUCUGUAACUGACGCUGAGGAGCGAAAGCGUGGGGAGCGAACAGGAUUAGAUACCCCCGUAGUCCCUGUCUCUUAUACA